rnacentral:rRNA from 1 species
UACGUAGGGUGCAAGCGUUAAUCGGAAUUACUGGGCGUAAAGCGUGCGCAGGCGGUUAUGUAAGACAGAUGUGAAAUGCCCGGGCUUAACCUGGGAACUGCAUUUGUGACUGCAUGGCUAGAGUUUGGCAGAGGGGGGUAGAAUUCCACGUGUAGCAGUGAAAUGCGUAGAUAUGUGGAGGAACACCGAUGGCGAAGGCAGCCCCUGGGUCAAGACUGACGCUCAUGCACGAAAGCGUGGGAGCAACAGG